UCCUUGUUAGCUCAGUUGGUAGAGCGUUCGGCUUUUAAACAAUAACAUUCGUUUAAACCAAGGAUACCGAAAUGUCAGGGGUUCGAGCCCCCUAUGAGGAG
rnacentral:tRNA from 1 species